ensembl:snRNA Gm26369 predicted gene, 26369
GCCUGCAUACUAGGUAUGACUAACUGAGAUGACCUAGAGAAGAUUAGCAUGAUCCCUGUGCAAGGAUGGCAUGUGAAUUCUUGAAGUGUUUCAUACUGUU